rnacentral:tRNA from 1 species
GGGGCGGGAGCACGGUGGUUGUGCAGUGGAUUGCAGAUCCAACGGUCCCGUGUUCAAAUCACGGUCGCCCCU